UAAGGAAUAUUGCUCAAUGGGAGAAAUCCUGAAGCAGCAACGCCGCGUGGAGGAUGAAGGGUCUAUGACUUGUAAACUCCUGUAAAGAAGGAAAAAAUUCCCAUUAGAUGGGAGAUGAUGGUACUUCUGGAGUAAGCCCCGGCUAACUACGUGCCAGCAGCCGCGGUAAUACGUAGGGGGCAAGCGUUGUCCGGAUUUACUGGGUGUAAAGGGUGCUCAGGCGGAUUUGUAAGUCAGAGGUGAAAUCUUACAGCUUAACUGUGAAGCUGCCUUUGAUACUGCAAGCCUAGAGUAUGGAAGAGAGUGAUGGAAUACCUGGUGUAGCAGUGAAAUGCGUAGAUAUCAGAUAGAACACCAAUGGCGAAGGCAGUCACUUGGUCCAUUACUGACGCUAAAGCACGAAAGCGUGGGUAGCAAACA
rnacentral:rRNA from 1 species